rnacentral:rRNA from 1 species
UACGAAGGGGGCUAGCGUUGCUCGGAAUUACUGGGCGUAAAGCGCACGUAGGCGGCUUUCUAAGUCGGGGGUGAAAUCCUGGAGCUCAACUCCAGAACUGCCUUCGAUACUGGAGAGCUCGAGUCCGGGAGAGGUGAGUGGAACUGCGAGUGUAGAGGUGAAAUUCGUAGAUAUUCGCAAGAACACCAGUGGCGAAGGCGGCUCACUGGCCCGGGUGACUGACGCUGAGGUGCGAAAGCGUGGGGAGCAAACAGG